rnacentral:rRNA from 1 species
UCGAGAAUCUUCCACAAUGGACGAAAGUCUGAUGGAGCGACGCCGCGUGAUUGAUGAAGGGCUUCGGUCUGUAAAGAUCUUUUAUAGGGGAUAAAGUUUUGAUCGUACCCUAUGAAUAAGGGGUUGCCAAACUCGUGCCAGCAGCAGCGGUAAUACGAGUACCCCGAGCGUUAUCCGGAAUUAUUGGGCGUAAAGGGUGUGUAGGUGGCGAUGUUAGUCUCUUGUUAAAGACCCGGGCUUAACCUGGGGAAGGCAAGGGAAACGGCAUUGCUUGAGGUUGCGAGAGGUGAACGGAACUCAUAGUGUAGGGGUGAAAUCCGUUGAUAUUAUGGGGAACACCAAAUGCGAAGGCAGUUCACUGGCGCAAAUCUGACACUGAAACACGAAAGCGUAGGUAGCG